UUUUAUAAAAGAGUAGGUGGUAAUUUUCAAAAAAAAUAAUAGCAGGUGAUAAUUGCUAAAAUGGAAAGAAUAGUAGGUGGUAACACUAGGGGUGUGCAUUUUAAUACCUGGACCGUGAAACCGACCGGGAUCGACCGGAAUCGGACCCGGACCGGACCAGACCGUAGGAUUUAGGGUCGGUCCUCGGUCCUUAAAAAUCAGUCAUUCCGGGUUUCCGGUCCGGGUAAACCCGGUAUAUUCCGGGCUGGAUCGAAAACCCGGGAAAAGUGUUUAUUUUUAUUAUUUUUUUUAAUUUCCUAAAAACCUUCACUUCUAUCAGAGUCUCAGUCACGCCUCUUCACUCUCUUCUUUCCCGUUCUCACUCUCUGUCCUCCACUGCUCGACUCCUCCGCCCCCGUUCUCAACGACGGCACCGCUCUUAUCUCCGCAGCGCCGCCCUCAUCUCCGCAGCACCGCCCUCCUCUUCGACUUCCAGCCUCCAGGUAUGUUCUAGUUCGAAAGUCAGCCUUUUCUUCGUUUUUUUUGUUUUUUUUUGUUUAAUUAAAUUCAAUUUGUUAAAGUCAGCCUCCUCCUCCGAUCACUGCAGCCGUCGACGCCUAACAGCCCUCACCGGAAAGCUAUCCUGUUCUAGUUCAAAAGUCAGAUGGCAAGCUCCCAAUCCAAAAGGGCACCUAUAUACUCGUCUGAUCAAACAGCACAUACACUUUCGGAUGCUGCUAACAACACUGAUAUUGAUUUAUUGUGGCAAUCCUUGCCUCCGGACAAGACACUUACGGAGGGACAGAAGUAUUUGGUUAGAACAAAAACAAAGACAUGCUGUAAAAUAUAUCAAGAAUUCUCCUGCUAGAAUUGCUAGGUUCAAAGAUCUUGCUCAAAAGGCUAAUAUACAAAGCAAAUCUUCUUUAUGCUUUGAUGUCCCUACUCGAUGGAAUUCAACUUACAUGAUGUUGGAAACAGCUUUGAAAUUUCAAAAAGUUAUUGGUGGGGUGUCACUUCCCGAUGGAGAAGGUGUGAAGGAUAAUGAAAAACCUCCUGACCAUGAUGAUUGGGUCAAGGUGGGAAGGUUAGUUUUGUUUUUGGAGUAGUUUUAUCAUUUGACUCGUAAUAUCUCUGGUUGUAUUUAUGUGACAAGUAAUAAAGAUUUGUUUGACAUUGCAUAUGUUGAUGAUUUGCUAAAUGAAUGGGAAAAAAGUGAUGAUUUGGAUUUUCAAGCUAUGGCCAUUUCAAUGAAGAAAAAAUUUGAUAAGUAUUGGGGAAAAGUGGCCAAUAUGAAUAUGUUUAUAUAUGUUGCUGCCAUUCUUGAUCAUCAAUCCAAAUUUCGUAUUUUUGAGGAAAUACUUAGGGAUAUGUAUGGAGAGGAAGAAGGGACAAGACUUGGUGUUAAAGUAAAGCAAUUUACUUGCUCUUUAUUUGAAGAGUAUAAAAAUUUGUAUUCUUCCUUCAUUCCUCAAAGUGGCCACAGUGAAGAUCAUGUGCCUAUUGAUGUAGAUGUUGAUGUGGAGGAUAAGAGUAAGAAUAAGACGUAUUUUGCAAAAGUUAAGGGUAGAGCUAAUAAAAAGAUGAGAGCGGAUAAUUGCAUUUGCAAAUAGUGAGUUUGAAAGAUACAUCAAUGAACAAUUAGGGCCGAAGGAAGAACAAAUGGAUGCUUUAUCUUGGUGGGCACAAAAUUGACAUCGUUAUCCUAUUGUUUCACGUAUGGCACAUGACAUAUUAGCCAUUCCAUUGUCUACCGUUGCAUCGGAAUCCGCCUUUAGUACGGGAGGUCGCCAUCUCGAUCCUUUUUGGAGUUUUUUGACACCUAAGAUGGUUCAAGCUUUGAUUUGCUCUCAAGAUUGGCUUAAACCAAAGGGAAUGAGGGAAGUUGAUGUUGAAGAAAAAGUAAAAGAUUUAGAGGAGAUUGAGAAAGAGGUGGAAGUUGAUGAUGGAGAUCAUGAGGUCAUUUUUGUGGACUAUUUUGCAUGAUUUAAGAUUUGGAGAGCGGUGAUGGAGAAUUGAUAGAAAAACGGAGAGGAGAAAUUAUCAAAGAUUGAAGAACUUAGCUCUUUUUCAUUGAACUUUUAUUACUUUGGUGUUGUAUUUAACUUAGGACUUGUUUUGGUUUGUAUUCGGAUAAAUCGGAUGUAUUGAGUGUGUAUGAUGUUUGGCUUUUUUUUAUU